GGUGCCAUGGCAUAGUUGGUUAAAGCGCCUGUCUAGUAAACAGGAGAUCCUGAGUUCGAAUCUCAGUGGUGCCU
rnacentral:tRNA from 1 species